GCAGGAGAUUUUUUAAUGCUCUCUAGGUGAUUCUGAUGUCAGCAAAGAUGGAGAACCACUGAUGUAGUCAAUGAGAAGUAAUAGGGGUUAUUUUUCAGAACAGCGUUUUGAGUUAAUUUGAAAGGAGGGAAAAUCUCAGGGCGAAGGUUAUUGUGGUGAGGUUAUAAGGUGAGGUCAAAGGUUAGCAAGGAGGUCUGGGUGGGCAUGGGGUCAGUUACACAGUAUGCUCUUAAAUGAUAGCGGGUAAAGUGAGCUGAACUUAAUCUGAAAAAAAAAAAAAAAGGAGUUCUGGCAUCCUAAGGUGGUGUUCAGCAAAGGGCAGUGUCAGGACAGUACCUCAGCUGAAGACCUUCAGGUCCAUGGAAGACAGUGCAUGGAUUAUUCUGAAGAAUGACUUUCCGACAAUCUGCCCCCAGCUGUGUGUUGCAAUGCGCGUGGCGGAGCUGCGCUUCCAAAGAGGCUGGCUCAGUGGGGCUGCGGUGAUGUCUCCUUCCAGGUCCCAGCAUGGAUGACCCUGUUCUUCUUGGGGCUUUUCUUCAAAGCGCUCCACCUGGUUUUGCAAAUAACUAUUACAGACCUUUCCUGCAGCAAGUCUAGGGGAGACAAGUCAAACAACGGCAGCAGAUGUUCUCCAGCCUUCGAAACCAACGAGUCUCCACACUUGUCAGCUGACGUGGCUCACAGGGUCCAGGAUUAACAGCACAGGCCUCUGUGAUUUGUCUGGUGAAGUAACACGGCAGCUCACAGAGGUUUAAUCAUUGCCCACUGGCCCCACCAAAAUAGCACAGGAGAUUAUGAAACUCCUUAUGCUUCACAGAGUGACAGCUGUGUGGCCCUCGUAGACUCCUCUCCCUCGAGAUCCACUCAGGAGGACUCUGCUGGGCUGUUCUCACAGUCUCGGCGGCUUAGCCAAGGAAGAGCUUCAUUUCUCGGGGCUGGGCUCACACUAUGUGCAUCCCGAGCCCACUUCCUAGGCCUGAGGCCUUCCUGGCAGCUCCUCCUAACUGCCGGGCUGGCUGUUCUCAGGAAGGAGCCUACAGGGACACAUCUCAGCUGCACGUUCUCACAUAUGCCCAAGGCUGCCAAGCAGCGUCCAGUGAGCUGUGUGCUGGAGGCUGUGCCCAGGCUCCCCUGCCAAGCCCCCAGGCCCUUAAUGAGGGGUGGGACCCAUGGGAGUUGUUUGCAUUAGUCCAUGGCAGCAUCCUCAGCAGCCCACCAUGAACCUUUCCUGGGCCUGAGUUAACGACCUGCUAUGGCUCCCACUUGCCUCCCAGCCAGGCCAGUGGGUUCCUUCCCAGCACCAGCCUGCUCUGCAAUUCAGACCAGGGCACACUUCAACCCAGACACUCAAAGAUGCCCUCCUGAGUCGUGGCACCCAGGUUAGCAUAUGGUCCUCUAGAAAGGGGACUGGGAAACUGCCCAGCAUGGAGUCCAAAUUCAGCUAGUAAAGAUGGGAAGACAAUUUUCUUCUGGAUCCCGCUAUUGACUUCCUUCAGCAGUUCUCAGAAAACUACAGUUGGACAGAGAAGUGCCAGUUUCUGUCUGCCUUUGGACAGAACCUGCUAUACCUCUACUAAAUGACCAUCUGGCUCCAGACCCCUCAGGGUCAGCUGAUUCCCGUAAAUCCAUGGUCUUCCAUCAGGGAGGUUCAUGGGACUCCCCAUCAGGGAGGGGGAACGGGCUCCACCGGCCGAGAUUUGAGUUCGAUGAGUCUGGGUCAGGGUUGACACACAGUUCCUCACCCCCAUAACCCAAAGCCUUGAAUUUCAUAGACAUAAAGGAAAGACAGAAGGGAACUUGAGAAAUGAUCUCAGUUGACAGAAGACAGUCUCACCCGAUAGGGGACCAUCAGCUCACGGGUUUCAGCUAAAGAUCAGCAGAGGUGACAUGCUGCAGAGCCGAAUGGAGCAAGUAAUUGGCACUUCUCCGGCCUGCUUCAUCCUCUCCUUCGCUGGAGAGACAUCACUAGAUAUCAGGAAUCACUAGGCAGGAAUCUCCUCAUAAUUAGUCCCCAGGACAGCCAAGUUCUUGCCACCUGGGGAACAAAGGCAACCCCUGGGGUCUGUCAGGUGCAACUCACGGCCAGGACCUCAGUGGGAGGCUGGCUAGAGGCAGCCACCCCAAAGCCAGAGGACUCACCCCUCCUAAAGGGAUGCUGCGCUCAGUCCUGAUGGGGACGGGGGCAGGGGAUGUGUGCGGGGACAGCCUGACCAUAGCUCAGCAGGAAGCAAGCCAUGUAUUUAUUUAUGGUGAGGACCACAUUUCACCCUCGGUUUAGCUGGCUCCAAGCGAGCAGUGCAAUCUCAGCUCUGGGAGGAAGUUUGUGGUUCGCUUU
rnacentral:lncRNA from 1 species